ensembl:misc_RNA 7SK 7SK RNA
GGUUGAGAGUAUGAUCUGGCUGGGACAUCCAUUGCCCCAUUCAUGAGAGGAUUGAUUUGGCUGCUCUGGCUGUCUAGACAGGUGUCCCCUUCUUUCCUAACUGCUGCAUGUGCAUACCUCCCAAAGCUGUGUGCUUGAUCAAAGAGAAUGACCACACCCAUAGGGGAAAAUCAUUCUUCAGUCAAGGAUAUAUGAGUAGCCAGGCUCCCCUGUUAGAACCUCUAAUCAAGCCCUCAAUGUCCAUUUGCAGAAGAACAUAAUAUAGGCAAGCUUUCAAAACUCCAGAAACAUUCAAAUGAGGCACUGAAUACGGCAGUCUACCUUUCUUA